rnacentral:tRNA from 1 species
GCCUGGGUGGCUCAGCUGGUUGAGUGUCUGACUUCGGCUCACGUCAUGAUCUCACAGUUCGUGGGUUUAAGCCCCACAUCAGGCU